rnacentral:rRNA from 1 species
AUUGAACGCUGGCGGCAUGCCUUACACAUGCAAGUCGAACGGCAGCACGGGAGCAAUCCUGGUGGCGAGUGGCGAACGGGUGAGUAAUACAUCGGAACGUGCCCAGUAGUGGGGGAUAACCCGGCGAAAGCCGGACUAAUACCGCAUACGACCUACGGUGAAAGCAGGGGAUCGCAAGACCUUGCGCUAUCGGAGCGGCCGAUGUCAGAUUAGCUAGUUGGUGGGGAAAAGCUCACCAAGGCGACGAUCUGUAGCUGGUCUGAGAGGGCGGACCGGCCACACUGGGACUGAGACACGGCCCAGACUCCUACGGGAGGCAGCAGUGGGGAAUCUUGCGCAAUGGGCGAAAGCCUGACGCAGCGACGCCGCGUGAGGGA